rfam:Clunio marinus genome assembly, contig: CLTMA_scaffold_002900
GGUCCAAUGGCGCAACGGAUAACGCGUCUGACUACGGAUCAGAAGAUUCCAGGUUCGAAUCCUGGUUGGAUCG